AUGCGCGUGGGAAAUGGUUCCGAAGUCGAUGUGAUCGCAGUCGGCACGCUACCUCUACAUCUACCUUCGGGAUUAGUAUUAGAUCUAAAUAAUUAUUAUUUGAUGCCAGUGUUGAGCAUGAACAUUAUAUCUGGAUCUUGUUUGAUGCGAGACGGUUAUUCAUUUAAAUCAGAGAAUAAUGGUUGUUCUAUUUAUAUGAGUAAUAUUUUUUAUGGUCAUGCACCCUUGAAGAGUGGUCUAUUUUUGAUGAAUCUUAAUAGUAGUGAUACACAUAUUCAUAAUGUUGAAGCCAAAAGAUGCAUAGUUGAUAAUGAUAGUGCAACUUAUUUGUGGCACUGCCAUUUAGAUCAUAUCUGUAUAAAGCGCAUGAAGAAAACUCAAUACUGGUGGACUUUUGGAAUCACUUGA
rnacentral:rRNA from 1 species